GGGCUGUUACACUGGGCAAAUUUUCCGUGGAUCUUCAGUCAAACCACGAUUUCCGCUAGCGUGGUUCUCAUUUGUUUCUUGUUAUUGCUGCUGCUGAUGAUGGUGAGUAAUACCGUCGUCCUUUGGUGAAAUCUACCGUAGCUUUGGAAGAUCGUGGACUCGUCAGAAAACCACGGAAAUAUGAGAACCACGCCAGCGGAAAUCGUGGUUUGACUGAAGAUCCACGGAAAAUUUGCCCAGUGGGAUAGCCCCUUAAGAGUGCUGUGCUGUGCUAAACUCCCUAAAAACAAUGUAGACAUCCCGCGUUAACUCAUCAGACAAGUCAAAUCUGUAGCCGUGGGGAGGGUUGACAGAGUGGCCAGCUCCCUCGAGAGUGCCCCAUGGAACUCCAAAUACUGAGCUCUUUGAUGACAAUUCGAAUUAUUGCUGGGGCAUCCCUGGUAAUACUUUAGGAAGGAACUCCUGGACCCCCGGCAAGAGAAGGAUCGAACCAACAGCCUCGGAUCGGACCGUCGAGCUGAGCGCGGCUCGAGGCUUCGGAUAGUUCUCCUUUCGGCAGACCCUUCCACGUCACUCCAUCUCUGAUACGAAUGGCGGGCGGACGGCGCGCCUCCUGUAAUAAUAUUUUCUUGUGCUACUUGGUUCCGGAAGCUUCUGGACGCCUGGCAAGCUACGUGAAGGAGCACGGGACAGUCAAACACCCUUGGGUACGUGAAAGAAUGAAGGGCGGCAGGCAGCAGGGAGGACAGCGAUCAGGACUAUGACUGCAGCUAAUUCUUACUUUGGAGUCAGGUGCUGGGGUUGAGAGAUGAGGCCGUGGCAUUGUAAUCACAAUCAUAAAGUAGGUACAUGGUAUCGUUGUAUGAGAGAGAGAGAGAGAGAAUCUGUUCUGACAGGUUCACAGCCAUGGGGGGCUUUAGGGGGGGGGGGACUUGGUUCCUCCAAAAAACUCUCAAGCCCCCCUGGAAGUUCUUUUGCAUAUAUGAAUGCUUGAAUGUAUACAUAGGAAGAAAGUAUAAACAAGUAAAGCUUUCCUUUGACAAGAGAUCCCCCCCCC